rnacentral:rRNA from 1 species
AUACAGAGGGUGCGAGCGUUAAUCGGAAUUACUGGGCGUAAAGCGCGCGUAGGCGGCUUAUUAAGUCAGAUGUGAAAUCCCCGGGCUCAACCUGGGAACUGCAUCUGAUACUGGUAAGCUAGAGUUUUGGAGAGGGAAGUAGAAUUUCAGGUGUAGCGGUGAAAUGCAUAGAGAUCUGAAGGAAUACCAGUGGCGAAGGCGACUUCCUGGUCAAAAACUGACGCUGAGGUGCGAAAGCGUGGGUAGCAAACGGAAUUAGAAACCCCAGUAGUCC